rnacentral:lncRNA from 1 species
UUCAUUUUAUCUUUAAUUGGCUGACUGUUUUAAAUUUUUUUCUAACAUCUUUCUUAUUACUUUCUAGUUUAUACUCAAAUGCUUCUGUUUGUUUAUUUAUUUAUUACACUUUAUUUAGUAAUUGUCAUCUUAUUGAAAGCUUAUAAUUUAAUUAAAAAAUUUUAGUAUUUGUUAAAGGUCUUAUUUUUUAAUUGUUUUUAAGCCAUUUUUAAUUUUUUUAUUUAAUUAAAUAGUUGAAAAGAAGACUUAGUAAAAAGUAUUAUGUGUUUAUAAUGCACUAUUGUAGAUUGUUUUCUUCUAUGUGCUGAUUUCUAGCUGCUAUGAAAAUUUGUAAAAAAAUAUUAAAUGUAAUGGUAUUUCUUUUCUUUUUAUGCACAACCUAGAUCGUGGAAAAUUUGGUGUUGAAAAGAACAGUGGUAAGAGAAUAAUUCAUGUUGAGCCAGCUAAAUGUGAGGUUUCACGAAGAUCAACCGAUGUUACUGAAUAUUUAUGUUCUUACUGCUCUUAUAGAACAUUUUACAAAUGGAACUUAAAAAUGCAUUCUCGUGUUCAUACUGGGGAAAAACCUUAUCAGUGUAAUUUUUGUAGCAAAAAAUUUGCUUCAAACCAAAAUUUACAAAGUCACAUUCACAGUAUUCAUAGGUUGAAGUAAAGAUAAAUGGUUUUUACAAUCACCUCAACAUGUGUUCUGAAUGCAAAGGUUAUAACAAUGAGAAGAUUAUAAGAAUAAGCAAAACAUUUAAUAUUAUUUUCUUAUUCUUCAUUAAUGUAAAAGAAAUAUUUAUGUUGAGCCAGCUAAAUGCGAGGUUUCAGGAAGAUCAACCGAUGUUACCGAAUAUUUAUGCUCUUACUGCCCUUAUAGAACAUUUUACAAAUGGAACUUAAAAAUGCAUUCCCGUGUUCAUACUGGGGAAAAACCUUAUCAGUGUAAAUUUUGUAGGAAAAAAUUUACUUCGAACCAAAAUUUGCAAAAUCACAUAUACAGUGUUCAUAAGUUGUAAAGAUAAAUGGUUUUUAUUAUCAUCUCAACAUGUGUUCUGAAUGCAAAGAUUAUAAGAAUGAGAUAAACUUUUUAUAUUAUUUUCUUAUUCAUAGUUUAUGUUGGCACCAGCAAAACAUUGUGUUUGAAUUUUAAAUUUAGAAGCUGCUAAUUAAUUUUCCAAUAUCUUAUAAGAAUUUGUUCAUAAUUUCUGCUGUGUUUUUAUAGUGUGAAAUUUUGUUUAUAAAAUAGGCAUGAAUUUAAAUCGUAAAAAUGUGUUAUAUUCUAAAUAGUUUUGCUUAUUUUAGUUGCCUUAAAACUUUUCAUUAUAAACCACUUAUGUGUGAUAUUGAAACGAAAUUAAUUUUUUUGUAUCAAUUCAAUUCUAUAUAAUUUUUAAACACUUCUUCAUUAUUUAAACAGGAAUAAAUAAAUAAUAACAAAAUUCCUCUAAUGCAAUAUUUUUUAAAGCAAUAUUGUUAAUUUUAUAUUUUUAUAAUCUUUCACUACCUAAAAAUUUGGUUACAGAAAUAUGACAUUAAUAUUAGUCUACACAUUUUUACUACUCAUUUCUAGAGCUUCUGUUCCCUAUUUCACAUUGAUGUGUGAUUAUUUUAAUUCGAUUUCUCAUUAAACAAUAUCAAGUUAUAUUUAGUUACCUGUGGUGUUAGCUUUAGAAAAAAAUUGUGUUAUCAAAUAUUUGAAUUUCAUAAUUUUUAGCGUUGAUGCAUAAAAUGUAUAUAUGUAUUUUGCAUUUUGUAUAUAAUGCAAAAGAUUAAAAAUAGAAAAUAAAAAAUUUGUAUAAAUUUAUUUUAUUUAUUUUUGUUCUUCUUUAAGAAACAGAAAUUUUUAUUGUAUAUACAUUUUUAUUUUGAAGAAAGGUAUAUUUAUAAUAGUAGAUCCCUUCGUUCACCAACUCUUGUAAUUCUUCUCAUCCUUCUUAGUUUUUUUUUCCUUAUAAGUCAAAAUUUUCCUCCAAAACAAGGAACAUUUUGUUAACAAAACGUGCAAUUAUUGUAGUUUUAUGUAAGAACAUUCUGUCAAUAUGUAAAUCGUAAUGAAAUUAACGCGUACCUGAAUUUUAAAAAUAAUCAUCUUUCCUUGGAAAAUAAAUUCAUCUAAGAAAUACAGAUUGUGUGCCUAAAUAAGAAGAUAUUGUAUAUGCACAUCUUAAGUAAGAUAUUUUUUAAGUAUUUAAGAUUGUAAUACAGUGCACGUUUGUGUUCCAUAAUUAUUAAUAAAACUAUUUUGUUCCAUAAAUUAUUGAUAUUUCUUUCCUUAUAAAAUUUUAUUUAAAUUAAUACGUUUCAAUCAACUAUAUACCUAUGUUCCUUUUGUAUUAUGUAUUCAAACAAAUGGAAAACUCGAGAUUAAUAAUAAAAAAAAAUUUUCAGCGCUAUUUGUUCAUUCCAAAAUAAAAGCUAAUUUAGUUAGGCGGUCAAUUAAUAUUUUGUCUUGGGAUUUAAAAAUGAAAAAGUUUAGUCAAUCAUUGUCUUAAGAUAGGAAACUCUUUCAUAUUAGGACUUAGUUCGAUAUGACUUUCCAUUUUUAUUUUCAUUGUUUUGUUUCUUAAUUUGAUUUUACUUAGAAAUUAUUAAUUUAACAAAUUAUGAAUGUGAAUUUAGGUCACAAAAAUAAACUUAAUAAAUGCUUCAUGUUUAUUAAAUGCAAUUAUUGUGUUGGAUUAGAAUCAAAUCUGCAUUUUUAAGUUCUAUCUUAACUUAUUUUUUGAAAAUUUUGACUUAAUUGUAUCCCGGAUAUAACAAGAAAAAUUUUAUUGUAUGGUUGGUUCUUUCUAUGUUUAAAAACCUAUAUAAAACAAUGUUGUUUUAAACCUAGCUUGCAUUCAAUGUAGAAAUUUUCACUAACUUGUGGAAAAUUGAUUUAUUGAAAUAAACUGAAAAAGUUGAAUUACUGUUUGUGAAGAUCUCAUUCCUUUCAGAAGCAUUCCAAAUAAUCCCUUCAUUCAAAUAGUUGAAAAAUUCUAUGCAGAUAUGAAAUGAAAAGUAAUUAUGUAAAAUUUCUAAUGUUAUCAAAAAUAGCCAUGUUAAUAUAUUGUGCUGUUAUGCUUAGUAUCAUGAAUGUUGUAGAUUAACAUAAGUUGAUAAUAAGAAUAAGAUAAGAAUAAAGUUAAAUCAUAAAUAAUGCUCACAUAUUUUUCACUUUAAUGUAAAUCAUAACAAUUAACCCAUUUUGAAACAUUUUUAAUUCAAUUUUUGUGCACUAUGACUUUUAUUUGUGAAAAUUUCUAUUGAGUGGGAUGUAACGAGCACACCUUUUUAAGGAACUGAUUAUCUCAAUCCCUGCAUUCUUAUUAUAAUGGUGCUCAGCUUGAUAGUUAUUAACAGAAAUGAAAGGAAUUACUUAAUAAAAUUCUUUUAUACUUCAAAACAAGAGUUUUAUCCAUCAUCAAACAGUAAAGAAUUAUAAGAAUCCACUCUGAAUGCACAACGGAAACACUUAAUCACUUUUCCACAAACUUCCCUGCUUUUUGUUCGGUAUGUUGGUCUGAUCAUACAAAACAUAAUGCUGUAUCUUUAUUUAAUUCACAAUUAAUCUAACUGUUCAUAUAGUUCAUUACCUUAGUAAUAUGUAAAAUUGUAAAGUGAUAAAAUUAGGCAGGAAGCAUAAUUUUAUUUUAUUAUGUCGUUAUAUAGUUUUAAACUGCUUGUACUGUAUAUAAAAAUUCUAUAUUCUAGGAACAGGAUUUGUUUUGAAACGAGUUCUUCAUUAUAAAGACAAUGGAAUAGACUUGGAAUUGUCGAAAUUCCGUUUACAUCCAUGCAUGUAUUGCAGCUAUUCAACAUACAAUAAAACUAAUUUAAAACACCAUCUGGUUACUCAUACCAAAGAACGACCGUUUGUUUGUAAAGUCUGCAAAAAAGAUUUCACUCGCAAGCACAAUCUUGUACUGCAUGAAGCUAAGCACUAUGUAAUUUAAUUGGAUGUAGUAACUACA